rnacentral:miRNA from 12 species
AGCUUGCCAUGGGAUUCAAAGGCUGUAGGUCCUGUGCUUUAAUUAAAAGAAUGAAGCACAUGACUUCAGCUCCAGCAUCUGUGGCAGC